GUGCCAAUGGCUUAGUGGCUAAUGCACCUGCCUAGUAAGCAGGUGACCCGGGUUCGAUUCCCGUCGUUGGUACA